rnacentral:rRNA from 1 species
GACGAACGCUGGCGGCGUGCCUAACACAUGCAAGUCGAACGGAGCACUUCGGUGCUUAGUGGCGAACGGGUGAGUAACGCGUGAGAAACCUGCCUCUCAGUGGGGGACAACAGUUGGAAACGACUGCUAAUACCGCAUAACGUAUUCGGAGGGCAUCCUCUGGAUACCAAAGCUUUAUGUGCUGAGAGAUGGUCUCGCGUCUGAUUAGCUAGAUGGCGGGGUAACGGCCCACCAUGGCGACGAUCAGUAGCCGGUCUGAGAGGAUGAACGGCCACAUUGGGACUGAGAUACGGCCCAAACUCCUACGGGAGGCAGCAGUGGGGAAUAUUGGGCAAUGGGGGAAACCCUGACCCAGCAACGCCGCGUGAAGGAAGAAGGCCUUCGGGUUGGUAAACUUCUUUUACCAGGGACGAAACUUGACGGUACCUGGAGAAAAAGACAACGGCUAACUACGUG